rnacentral:rRNA from 1 species
UACGUAGGCAGCAAGCGUUGUUCGGAGUUACUGGGCGUAAAGGGUGUGUAGGCGGUCUACUAAGUCUGGUGUGAAAUCUCCCGGCUCAACUGGGAGGGUGCGCCGGAAACUGGAAGGCUAGAGUGCGGGAUGGGAGAGUGGAAUUCCUGGUGUAGCGGUGAAUGACGUAGAUAUCAGGAAGAACACCCGUGGCGAAAGCGGCUCUCUGGAACGGUACUGACGCUGAGACGCGAAAGCGUGGGGAGCGAACAGG